GCCGAGUUCAGUAACGUGAACUUAUAACCUGAGUGGGGGCUUUAAAGUGAUGGAACAUUGGAUUAGUCCAAAUGGUAGGGUUUAGGCCAAUAUUAUAUUGGACCGCCCUCUCCAAGCGAGGAGUUGGCCCAUGUGACCUAGGCGAAGGCCUAGGUUUCAUGGAUUCUAGAGUGGAGGGGACUGCAUCAGGCUGGCUUCACAGAGCAACGAUUACCUCCCGCUCUUUGCAGUGGAAGGAUUACGGACCGGUGCUGCCCAAGCCCAUCAAAUGCCAGAUGGACUUGUCUAAAUUGGACCAUCGCUUUU
rfam:Solanum lycopersicum cultivar Heinz 1706 chromosome 3, whole genome shotgun sequence.